ACAGAGAAAUCUUACCUGAGUUCCAGAACAAGAUCAACAAAGCGGACUGAGUUCCAGAACAAGAACAAAAAGAACUUUUCUGACUGAGUUCCAGACUGAAUCUUUUCAUACAAGCAACGAUUCGAUACCACUUGAUGGCUAUCCCGAGACCCAUACGCACAGACGUCUUCACCUGCGUAUGAAGCCACCACUUCCAGAAAACAACGAGACCCACUGCCGAGCCAACUAUCACCAAAGUAAAGAAGAAAAA